rnacentral:rRNA from 1 species
AGCGGCACCUGAUGGUGACAGUUGUUAAAGCGGGGGAUCGCAAGACCUCGCGUCUGAAGAGGAGCCUGCGGCAGAUUAGCUAGUUGGUAAGGUAAAGGCUUACCAAGGCGAUGAUCUGUAGCCGGCCUGAGAGGGCGGUCGGCCACACUGACACUGACAUACGGGUCAGACUCCUACGGGAGGCAGCAGUCGGGAAUUUUGGGCAAUGGGCGAAAGCCUGACCCAGCAACGCCGCGUGAAGGAUGAAGUCCCUCGGGAUGUAAACUUCGCAAGAACGGGAAGAAUAAGCCGGUGCAAAUAACACCGGCGAUGACGGUACUGUUUGUAAGCUCCGGCUAACUCCGUGCCAGCAGCCGCGGUAAUACGGGGGGAGCAAGCGUUGUUCGGAUUUACUGGGCGUAAAGGGCGCGUAGGCGGCCACCGCAAGUCAGUUGUGAAAUCUCUGGGCUUAACCCAGAAAGGUCAACUGAUACUGCGGGGCUAGAGUGCAGAAGGGGCAACUGGAAUUCUCGGUGUAGCGGUGAAAUGCGUAGAUAUCGAGAGGAACACCUGCGGCGAAGGCGGGUUGCUGGGCUGACACUGACGCUGAGGCGCGAAAGCU